rnacentral:rRNA from 1 species
GACGUAGGGCGCGAGCGUUGUCCGGAUUUAUUGGGCGUAAAGAGCUCGUAGGCGGCUUGUUGCGUCGACCGUGAAAACCCGGGGCUCAACUUCGGGCUUGCGGUCGAUACGGGCGGGCUAGAGUUCGGUAGGGGAGACUGGAAUUCCUGGUGUAGCGGUGAAAUGCGCAGAUAUCAGGAGGAACACCGGUGGCGAAGGCGGGUCUCUGAGCCGAUACUGACGCUGAGGAGCGAAAGCGUGGGGAGCGAACAGG